UACGGGGGGAGCAAGCGUUGUUCGGAUUUACUGGGCGUAAAGGGCGCGUAGGCGGUCAGCACAAGUCAGUUGUGAAAUCUCUGGGCUUAACACGGAAAGGUCAACUGAUACUGUGCGACUAGAGUGCGGAAGGGGCAACUGGAAUUCUCGGUGUAGCGGUGAAAUGCGUAGAUAUCGAGAGGAACACCUGCGGCGAAGGCGGGUUGCUGGGCCGACACUGACGCUGAUGCGCGAAAGCCAGGGGAGCGAACGGG
rnacentral:rRNA from 1 species